rnacentral:rRNA from 1 species
ACUCAAAUGAAUUGACGGGGGACCGCACAAGCGGUGGAGCAUGUGGAUUAAUUCGUCACUAACCGAAGAACCUUACCCAGGUUUGACAUCCUAGGAACCCCUGUGAAAGUGGGGGGUGCCCUUCGGGGAGCCUAGAGACAGAUGUUGCAUGGCUGUCGUCAGCUCGUGUCGUGAGAUGUUGGGUUAAGUCCCGCAACGAGCGCAACCCUCACCGUAUGUUGCCAGCGUAAAGUCGGGAACUCUUACGGAACUGCCCGUGCAAGCGGGAGGAAGGUGGGGAUGACGUCAAGUCGGCAUGGCUCUUACACCUGGGGCUUCACACAUGCUACAAUGGGCGAUACAAAGGGUCGCGAACCCGUGAGGGGAAGCCAAUCUCAAAAAAUCGUCCUCAGUUCGGAUUGUAGGCUGCAACUCGCCUACAUGAAGCUGGAAUCGCUAGUAACCGCAGGUCAGCUAAACUGCGGUGAAUACGUUCCCGGUCCUUGCACACACCGCCCGU